rnacentral:rRNA from 1 species
GAUGAACGCUGGCGGCGUGCCUAAUACAUGCAAGUCGAGCGAACAGACGAGGAGCUUGCUCCUCUGACGUUAGCGGCGGACGGGUGAGUAACACGUGGAUAACCUACCUAUAAGACUGGGAUAACUUCGGGAAACCGGAGCUAAUACCGGAUAAUAUAUUGAACCGCAUGGUUCAAUAGUGAAAGACGGUUUUGCUGUCACUUAUAGAUGGAUCCGCGCCGCAUUAGCUAGUUGGUAAGGUAACGGCUUACCAAGGCAACGAUGCGUAGCCGACCUGAGAGGGUGAUCGGCCACACUGGAACUGAGACACGGUCCAGACUCCUACGGGAGGCAGCAGCAGGGAAUCUUCCGCAAUGGGCGAAAGCCUGACGGAGCAACGCCGCGUGAGUGAUGAAGGUCUUCGGAUCGUAAAACUCUGUUAUUAGGGAAGAACAAAUGUGUAAGUAACUAUGCACGUCUUGACGGUACCUAAGCAGAAAGCCACGGCUAACUACGU